rnacentral:tRNA from 8 species
GGGGACGUAGCUCAGUUGGCUAGAGCACCUGCUUUGCAAGCAGGGGGUCGUGGGUUCGAUUCCCAUCGUCUCCACCA